AGCUGGCAGUGCUGCAGUGGCGUCGUUCGGGGAGAGAGGCACGCAGCAGCCAGCUGUGGGAAGCUGGAGCCCAACCUGCACCCAGUGCUUGGCCAGGGAAGAGGAGGGCAGGAGCGGCACAGGUCUGCGUGUGCACGGAGGAGGAGGAGAAACGCAAGCUCUGGGACUCGUUGCGCAAGAAGUGCCAGAAGGCAAGGGCAAAAGUGGCAACCGCGAAGGCUUGGAAAGAAAAGCGAGAGCAAUGGGAGGUCCAGGUACUGGAGGCAAUGAAAAAUAAUUAGGAAAAGAGCAUUCUUCUCCUCCAGGGAGCCAAGGGUCCUGCAUUCAUGGCAUUCCCGAGCGGUGGGGAGACACCAGGAGAGGAUGAGGAGAGCCCAGAGGACAAGC